rnacentral:lncRNA from 1 species
AAUAUUGACUAAAUUCUCUGCCAAUCUUGUCACCUCGAUGUUCAAGGCCUCAAUUUCAUCCCUUAACCGCUCCGUUUCACAUCUGUAUUGGUCACUCAAUACCAAUUUCUCUUGCGCCAAUAACUUGGCCUUUUCUCGUUCCAUUACCAACUGAUCCUUCACUUUUUCCAGUUCCAAAAUUGAAUUACUGCGAGCUCGGAA